UUGAUUGUUGUUUUCAGGCUCAGAGAUACACUAAAUAAAACAAGAGUUUGGAACCUCCGGCGGUUUUGGGGUUUUUGGCCCAAGACCGCCGAAGGACUGAGGUAUGUUCACACGGGUUGGAGUUUUUGCAACUCGAUAAUGAUCCCUCCGCUGGUUCACCAACGGAGA
rnacentral:misc_RNA from 1 species